rnacentral:rRNA from 1 species
CCUACGGGAGGCAGCAGUGGGGAAUAUUGCGCAAUGGGCGCAAGCCUGACCCAGCAACGCCGCGUGAAGGAAGAAGUAUCUCGGUUUGUAAACUCCUUUUGUCAGGGAAGAGUAGAAGACGGUACCUGACGAAUAAGCCACGGCUAACUACGUGCCACCAGCCGCGGAAAUACGUAGGUGCCAAGCGUUGUCCGGAUUUACUGGGUGUAAAGGGCGUGUAGCCGGGUUGACAAGUCAGAUGUGAAAUCCUGGGGCUUAACCGCAGAACUGCAUUUGAAACUGUUGAUCUUGAGUACUGGAGAGGCAGGUGGAAUUCCUAGUGGAGCGGUGAAAUGCGUAGAUAUUAGGAGGAACACCAGUGGCGAAGGCGGUCUGCUGGACAGCAACUGACGGUGAGGCGCGAAAGCGUGGGGAGCAAACAGGAUUAGAUACCCCGGUAGUC